GAUGAACGCUGGCGGCGUGCCUAAUACAUGCAAGUCGAGCGAACAGAUGAGGAGCUUGCUCCUCUGACGUUAGCGGCGGACGGGUGAGUAACACGUGGAUAACCUACCUAUAAGACUGGGAUAACUUCGGGAAACCGGAGCUAAUACCGGAUAAUAUAUUGAACCGCAUGGUUCAAUAGUGAAAGACGGUUUUGCUGUCACUUAUAGAUGGAUCCGCGCCGCAUUAGCUAGUUGGUAAGGUAACGGCUUACCAAGGCAACGAUGCGUAGCCGACCUGAGAGGGUGAUCGGCCAAACUGGAACUGAGACACGGUCCAGACUCCAACGGGAGGCAGCAGUAGGGAAUCUUCCGAAAGGGGCGAAAGCCUGACGGAGCAACGCCGCGUGAGUGAUGAAGGUCUUCGGAUCGUAAAACUCUGUUAUUAGGGAAAAAAAAAUGUGUAAGUAACUAUGCACGUCUUGACGGUACCUAAUCAGAAAGCCACGGCUAACUACG
rnacentral:rRNA from 1 species